rnacentral:lncRNA from 1 species
UGGGCCAAGGCUCUGAGUGGGCAGGCCUGGCUGGCCGCAGCAUCAUUGGAGAUGCUGUUUCCCUACCUCCUUCCAUCCUGGGUGCAGCCCAGGACCCAGAGCCUUCUGUCCCAGUUCUCCCAAAAAGGGAUCAGGGCCAGGUAGGUGAACACCUGUUCUGGUGCAGCAUGCUCAGCACUGGCUGUGGGCGUGGCCCUAGUUUGGAGCUGGCCACUUGCCUGUUCUGCAACAGAGAGUGGGGACAGAAGUUGCGGGGAGACCCUGGUGGGGAAGAGGGAAGGGUCUGGUCUCACCUGCCCCAUCCUAGUGGUGGGGAUCAAGACCUCCACAGGUGGGCUCACAUCCUCUGGGGUGGUGGCAUCUUCUGACUCCAGAGGACCUCACAAGCCGCCUCAUAUCCCUGGGGAGGCUGAGAGGUGAUACUUCCAAAUUUAGCUGAAAGGCACAGACUUACCCACAUUUUAAUCCUGGAGUUUUAGAAUGGUAAAUCCGAAUCCCUUUAGGUUACAAAUGCAGAAACAGACUAAGGCAAAGGCGAUCCCUUUCUCCUCCAAGGUCACUCUGGUUAGAAGGGUCUGGAGCCCCAGUUACUAGAUGCUGUCAUUGUUCUGCCGCCAAGUCCUUAAAGAAUGGCAGAACAUGACUUAAACCACCUGCUAAGUACAAGAUUCUAUGCUGGAGAUGCAAAGGUAGCUGUCCUCAAGAGCACUUUGUCAAACAGGUAAACUUCAGGGCAACAUGCAGAUGCUGGAAAAGGGUGGAUUUGCCUCAAGAGUCUGUGCAUGCUUUCUAAGAUACUCCCCUCCUUUUCAUCCUCUGAUGCGGGGAGGGAACCCUACCUGAAGAAACACCCCAAGGCCCAGGGGUAGAUCUAGGGUGGAGAGAUCACAUAUGGGAGGGCCCGGAAAGAAAAGGAACAGGGUUGUCAAUGGGCAUACCCCAAACACCUCACCCAGAAAUGCCCUAAGGCCCCAGCCCGGAAAUGGACCUCUGCUGCCCUCUAAUGGUGGAAAGGCAGCCUCUGGAGCUACCUGCUGGGGUCCCCCCUUAAAGAAGAGGAGAUGUGAAGGACACUUCUGCCCUCUCCCCUUUUAUUCCCCUUCUGUCUUAUGCUUCAUCUCCUGUGGUCUCUAAAGCAGAACCUUCUCUUUUUUUUUUUGAAAUGGAGUCUUG